rnacentral:lncRNA from 1 species
AGGGUCUGGAGAGAGCUCCCACUGUGGCGAGUCCUGUCGUUGGAUUCCCGCGGCGCCCCGUAAGGCUCCGCCCCGGCGGUGCUACCAAACCCUGUUCGAUUUUAGAAUCGUACAUUCCCAGAGGGAAUCCUAGACCCCUCAUUUUACAGUUGAGGAAACAGGCCCAAGUAGCAUGACUUGUUCGCGCCGCUAGUCGAAGGAGCAGCAGCCCCGAUCCCUUGACUCUGGGGCACUGCUUUCCCUUUAGCUCAUUUUUGGAGGAAAUGGGUGCGCCCUUGCUCGACCUUUGGUGAUUGCCGCCACAGGCCUUCCCGCCGGCUAACUCAGCGUGCCCAAGUCCCGUGACUUAGUGCCAGGACGGUGCUGUGACCCGUUAUCCCCUGUCGGGUUUUACCUCCCCCCGGGAGAGCUCAGCCCUGGAUCCCGGCGGGCGGCGGAGCCUCUCUGGAGCCCGGACGGGACAGCCCACCAGGGUCUGCUUCUGUGAGGGGCCGAGGCGUCAUUCCGCGAAGCCUUCUCCUUGCUGUUGCCAUGUGAAGAAGGAUGUGUUUGCUUCCCCUUCUGCCAUGAUUGUAAGUUUUCUGAAGCCUCUCCAGCCAUGCCAAACUAAUCGAGUUCUGUUUUUACAAAAUCAUUGCACAUUAGAAAAUGUUACAUUAGGUAAAAUUUCAAACAUUUAAAAGUAGAGAGAGUAGCAUGCUAAGCAUUCCUGUACCAUUACCCAGCUUCAAUAAUUAUAACCUCGUGGAUAAUCUUGCUUCAUCAGCACUCCUUGCUCUGCCCAUCUAGAUUACAUAGAAGCCAAUUCCAGGCAUCAUAUCAUUUCCUUAUGUAUCUCUAGAAGGUAUAAACUAUUUAUGUAAAUAUACCAGUAAUACUAUCACAACACCUUGAAAAUAAUAAUUCAUUAUUAUAAAACAGGUCAGUGUUCAAAAACUUCCAAUUGUCUUGUAAAAUUUUUUUAACAUUUUAAAAUCAGAAACAAAAUUAAAUCAAUGUACAACCAA